rnacentral:rRNA from 1 species
UAACGCGUGGGUAACCUGCCCUUAAGUCUGGGAUACCAUUUGGAAACAGAUGCUAAUACCGGAUAAAAGCUACUUUCGCAUGAAAGAAGUUUAAAAGGCGGCGUAAGCUGUCGCUAAAGGAUGGACCUGCGAUGCAUUAGCUAGUUGGUAAGGUAACGGCUUACCAAGGCGAUGAUGCAUAGCCGAGUUGAGAGACUGAUCGGCCACAUUGGGACUGAGACACGGCCCAAACUCCUACGGGAGGCAGCAGGCUG